AAUUGCAAUAAGCUUUCACCAUCAGAAUUUUUUUUUUACAUGAAGAGUUAUAUGAAAUUAAUAUCUCCUUAAUAGAAAUGGCAUGUGUAUAACUUAGCACCAGACCUCUUUGUUUGGUCUUAUAUAUAUGAGCCAGCUUAUAAUCUAAAAAGCCAAAGCCCAAGUGACCAGACAGCUUUUUUCUUAGGAUAUUUUGAAGCCAUAUCCUAUUCUUACGCUGUUAAGCCGAUAUCUAGGUUUGAGUAGCUUUUUGGCUUAUGCAUAUUAGAGUUAGCACUUUGCCCAACUGGGGCCCUAAAAGUUAUCGACUUAUAAACCGUAACAGCCACAAAAAUCAACUUAAAUGCCUAAGCCAAUAGAUGCGCUCAUAGCGUCGUGGUAGGGGUGGCUGGGAUGCACCCCUAUCAGCCUAGGUUUGAGUCUCCUUGGGCACGCUCGCCAGAAAUAUUUGUUGCUUCCUUGUUAAAACCACUGACACCAAGUUCUUCCUUGGCGUCCAACUUAAAGGCCUAAGUCAAAACAAAGGGAUACUUAGUUAUAAGAGAUAUGGAUGCAGCCAUCCAGCUGCUAUAGACAACAAAUAAAAUGCACACAUGUAACGUCAGAUAAAGUAGGCUGCCUAUCUGAUUAGGUUUGCUUUUAAUUGUUCUUCUUUAAAUUAUUUUAAUUAUUUCCUCUGAACUCAAGAAGCAUAUAUAUAUAUAGGAUACCCAUAUAGCACCAGUUAAUUUACCCAUAUACCCAUAUAUAUAUAUAUAUAUAGUCCCUAGUAUAGGGAGAUACUAUACUACAACAGGGGUGUAGUAUAGCUAAAACACACCCACACUCCUGUCCUCCAGCCAGUCCGCACCCCCCCCCCCAAGCCCCAAGCCCCUUCUCGCAUCCAUAUUCUGAAUAAUAUUUUUACUGGACGUUACCUACACAACAUAUAUAGAUGUCUAACCACAUCUCCAUUCAGUUACAAUCAAUCCCGAUCCUGUUUUUUUGGAUCUGAGAGACAGAGGAGGUCGCUUUGGCGGCUCGGUGGAGCAGUUGAGCGUCAGCAACGGCAGCAGCCUCGACUAGGAGCGGCGGCGGCGACGGAGAGGAUGGAGCGACGUCCUCCAUAUCACUCUCCCGGCGCCGACGCCCGCCUCACCGGAUGUGGCCACUUGCUUCUUUUCAACACGAAGAGAGACGGGAGAAGGAGAAUAAAGGGAUGCCAGUGAUGCGGCAACGUCUCCUCUGUGCACCUGGCAUCAACCCCAUCGAUCUGGAUUUUCAAUGUAGUCAGGCCCGCUGCUAGAGGCUGUUGUUUUCAUGAUGCAUUUAGACGGCCAGUGGUGCUCCCCUUCAACCAAGUGAUCGUCAGCGAGAGGAGCCGGCCGCGGUGGCCGGGGCGACGACUGGUGCUGCACCACUCCCCCAAGCUGAGGCCAACAAGAAGAGCAAGCAGCGUAUCCCGGCUCCAAUUGGAGAGAUUCAAAAUGUAAAUUACAGUGCAUCAAUUAUUUGUUGGGAUGAAGACAUCUAUUUUGUCUUUCGUUUUCAUUGAUUCGUAGGUAUCCUUGUCAGAGCAGAACAACACCUACAACAUGCACAUACUCUGGGUGUUUUUCUGCAUCUGCUAUUUUUACCAACGAGAUCAUCGACUCCCCACCCUCCAGAUCGGGUCUAGGCGAGCCCAGGAACCACAGUUAAGGAAACAAAAUGUGACCUCCAUGCUUGUCUGAAUAAAAAAAGAACUGUUGGCUAAAAGUAGGCAUAAAGGAACCUAAACUGGUAGCUCAAUUUUUUAUGAAGCAUUUUAUUUCUUCUUCGGCGAACCAUAUCUCAUUUAGAGUCAUUUAUGAGUGUAAAUUAAAGACUUCUCUUAUGAUGUAAUCGUUUUUGUCUAUAUCCAGGUGGUUGUGGGAUGCUCUCUAGAUAUUCAUGCGUGAUGGAUAUAUGUCGAUGGGAGACCUAAGGAAUCUAUAGUGCUUUGUCGGCUCAACAUCGAUAUGUGGCACUAGCGUCGUCUUGCUUGUUGGAUUCGUGCAUGUAAUAGUAAUUUAGUUACUAAGAGACAUAUGUUGAGAACUAUCGGUGCAAUAGUAACAUGGUUACUAAGAGAAUUUUUUGGCAAUAUCAAUAUGUUAUGUUGAGAUUGGUGUAAUA